AUGGUUACCAUCUUCCCCAUGCCCUUCCCCUCCAAGUGUGUCAACAACCUCUCUUUCCUCACUAACAUCUCCAGUCCUUUUAAGGCUUGUCGAUCUCUCCUUCCUCCCAUUUCUCUACUCUAGCGUCUUUGAGCUCUCCCCUUUCCGGACUUUAAAAUCCCUGGCGCCUCCAACCCCUCAUCACCCUCCCCCCAGUCCCUGGCACCCCUAGUCUCCUCAUACUCUUCCCCCUUCUUCAUCAACCCAUCUGCCCCCAAAAUCCUUAAUCUCCAAAAACUGACCAAGUAGACCUUACAUUGGAAGGACCCAUCUAUCGGCAGGUUGAAGUUAAAUGGGGUCUUCAGAAGGCAUACAAGCAGCAGCUAGAGUGUACAGAAACCUUCUUAAAGCAGUAAGAAAGCAUAUAGGUAAGGAAGAGCAAAAGGCCCAAUUCUCUGACUUCAUUAAGCAGGAGUUCAGGAAUAGCAGCAGUGGACAACAGUCCGUGGAUCCCUCUUUCAUUCAGCAAAAGAUAAAGCUUGCCCAUGAUUACACUUUCCUUCUGAACAGUGUCCACCAUCAUAAGGACUUGCUAUUUUCCUAUAAUAUUGCAGUUGACAGAUCAGAUGAGAUGAAAAAAAUUCUUGGGAAAUCUGCUGCUAGUGUGGGUCUUCAACUUCCUGAUGUCUAUCAACCUUAAUGGUAAGAUCUCAUCUUAUCAUCUUGGAGAUGCUUUUGCUGUGUUUAAUGUUUAAUUGGUUGUUAAGAUCUUGUCUUAUUUGUAUUAUUUCUAAUUAUCUCUUAGAUGUUUUCUUUGUGGCCUGCAUGUUCCAUAAGUAUGGGUAUUAAAGCUAAUUUAGACUGAGAAGUUGAUGUCUGGGAUUUGCUGUUCCUUGUUUGUCAUCAUCAUCUUCUUAUUCUUAUUUUUCCCCCUCUCUUGGUUUUCCUUCCCUUGCUUUCCUUUCUCAGUAUUGUUGGUUGGUUUCAGAAAUGGCUAUACUUUCAAAGCAAUUUGAGUUAAAAAAUCAUUUGGACAUGGCAUUUGAGCGCAAAGUAUGCUUGAUAACCUCACUGGAUCUGAUGGCCAGUUUUACCUAUUGAAGUUUGGUUUCUCCGGAAGCAUGCAAUAGUUUAAGAGGUUUGGUUCGGUGGAAGUUUCAGGAAGACAAUUCUGUCAUUUAUUCAAGAACUGAGAAGUAGAUAUACCCAUGGUCAAGGUCCUUGUUCCCUCAUCUUGGUACGGGAGUUCAACUUUCACUGACACACCCCUGCUCUUGGAUUUCAGAAAGGCUUUACUUAGUUUUGAACAGAAAAUCUCUGAUGUCAUAAAGGAGAGAACCUUUUUGUGCAGACAAAGUACAGGAUUUGCUUCUUGAAAACUUUGAAACCUUAGAAUUAUUUAUCUUGAUUAAAGCAAACCUCCCUUACUUCUUUUGGCUCUUCAAGUUUUGAAGAGAUGAACACAUAAGCGAGCUGGAAGCUGUUCAAGCCUAAGACAUGAAUUGAUUGGGAGGAUAUAUGAAAUAGUUAAUGAUAUUAUCUACAGUGUCAUGACCCUUGCAAGCGAGAUAUUUUUAGGUACAAGUAUCCCAUAAAAGCACUUUCAAGCAUGGUUUAGCAAUGAUUGGGAGGGUAUAUGUAGGAGGAUUUGCAUGAAAUUUUACCCAACUCCAUAUCUGGAAUAGAAUAUAUGAAAUACGUAUGAACACAGAAAAAAUUAUACAGUGUCAUCAGCCUUGCAAGAGAGACUAAUUUAGGUAUCAUUAAUUCCCACAGGCACUAUAAAGAUAUGUUACUUAAUUGUAAUUCUACAGAAAGGUGCUGUAAAAGUCUAAUUUCAUUUAAAGAUUUUCCUUGGAUGCACUAGCAAAAAGAAAAGCUUUGUAACAGUGGACACUGGAAUGAAAUGACAGUUUCUCGUA